rnacentral:rRNA from 1 species
UCCAGACUCCUACGGGAGGCAGCAGUGGGGAAUAUUGCACAAUGGGGGAAACCCUGAUGCAGCGACGCCGCGUGAGUGAAGAAGUAUUUCGGUAUGUAAAGCUCUAUCAGCAGGAAAGAAAAUGACGGUACCUGACUAAGAAGCCCCGGCUAACUACGUGCCAGCAGCCGCGGUAAUACGUAGGGGGCAAGCGUUAUCCGGAUUUACUGGGUGUAAAGGGAGCGUAGACGGUGAAGCAAGUCUGAAGUGAAAGGCGGGGGCUCAACCCCCGGACUGCUUUGGAAACUGUUUGACUGGAGUGCAGGAGAGGUAAGUGGAAUUCCUGGUGUAGCGGUGAAAUGCGCAGAUAUCAGGAAGAACACCGGUGGCGUAGGCGGCUUACUGGACGGCAACUGACGCUGAGGCUCGAAAGCGUGGGGAGCAAACAGGAUUAGAUACCCGAGUA